rnacentral:rRNA from 1 species
UACGGGGGGGGCAAGCGUUGUUCGGAAUUACUGGGCGUAAAGGGCUCGUAGGCGGCCAACUAAGUCCGACGUGAAAUCCCCAGGCUUAACCUGGGAACUGCGUCGGAUACUGGUUGGCUUGAAUCCGGGAGAGGGAUGCGGAAUUCCUGGUGUAGCGGUGGAAUGCGCAGAUAUCAGGAGGAACACCGGUGGCGAAGGCGGGUCUCUGGGCAGUGAACUGACGCUGAGGAGCGAAAGUGUGGGGAGCGAACAGG